rnacentral:rRNA from 1 species
CCUACGGGAGGCAGCAGUGAGGAAUAUUGGUCAAUGGCCGGAAGGCUGAACCAGCCAUGCCGCGUGAAGGGCAGGGGCCUACGGGCGUUAAACUUCUUUUGUGCGGGAGCAAUAAUGGUCACGUGUGGCCAGACGAGAGUACCGUACGAAUAAGCAUCGGCUAACUCCGUGCCAGCAGCCGCGGUCAUACGGGGGAUGCAAGCGUUAUCCGGAUUUAGUGGGUUUAAAGGGUGCGUAGGCUGUGAGGUAAGUCAGCGGUGAAAUGCCCCCGCUCAACGGGGUGAAGUGCCAUUGAUACUGCCUUGCUGGAGUGCGGAUGCGGUGGGAGGAAUGUGUGGUGUAGCGGUGAAAUGCAUAGAUAUCACGCAGAACACCGAUUGCGAAGGCAUCUCACGAAUCCGCGAUUGACGCUGAUGCACGAAAGCGUGGGUAUCAAACAGGAUUAGAUACCCUGGUAGUC